CCAGUAGAGGGGCGCCACUGUCCCACGUUACUGAUUCACAGUCGCAUGCAAAAACCGACUCGGGAAUUGGGUCUUCUCCCACGAACGGAAACUCUAAUUAUGACUAGAGCUCCUAUAUCCUCGUCCCGAUUUUCAUUUUACGCGCACCACAGAGGACUCUGACGACUUUCGCCGGCCGAGAAUCAGGGCAGCCCCGGAAGCUGGCAACGGUCAAUACGUUCGCAACAUCGUUCCUCUCGGAGGCUGCUCGGAAGCUGCUCGGAAGAUCAAUGAAAUUCUGUCCGGCCGCCACUGGGAUGGUUAUCCGCCGUAAGGGAUCCUUUAUCGCGGCGCCGUGACAGCCGCGAAAGACCGCCGACCCGCGUUGCGUCGUACGCACUGUCCGGGGCUAUUUGUCCGCGUGCGUCCUUCUGGCAAACGCAACGAACCCGCCGCCGAUGCCUCGAGCCCGAACACGGAUCGGAAUGGGUUCUCUCUCGUUAUGGAUCUCGGGUCGGAUUCGACGCGGACGGGACGGACGAGGAUCGUGAACGGCGUGUCCCGCGGAAGACGUGUUCGCGGUUUGCAUCGAAAAUACGGCAAUGCGGUGCGUGGUGGAACGCGGUGCAGUCCGCGCUCGUGCAAACUCCUCGCUAGUCGACGACACUUCCGCGGAUGUACACCAAUGGUACAGCACCGUUGGAUGUACAAGCGGCGAACGCACACUCUCAGCUGUUCCGCCGCGCCGCGUCUGCGCCAGUCCCGCCAGCUAUUGACCGAACACCAUACCGCUAGAUAUAGCUGUGCUAGCGGGACCUGAUUGUGAGCGCACGAGAAGACGUACACAUGCACGGCGAUCUAUAUGCACCUAUACGAGAGAUGCGCCAGCGAGAGAUCGCAUCGCUGCACCCGGUAUACGGAAACUCGCCGACAGAGGGACCGCGGUGCCGGUCAGCUGAUCGGAAAUGUUGUUCCCGGGACUAGCCCAAAUCCCCCUCUCUCUCUCUCUCUUUCUCUCUUUAAUUCUUUUUUUAUCUUUCUCUCUUUCUAGCGUUGCUGGCGCUGGGCCGGCUGAGACGGGGCGAGACACGUGCGCAGUCUCGCGUCGUCGCUAUAUGUUUACACGGUGGACGUUUAAUUGCCCCACAGAGGCUGGCGAAAUGAAAAUAACUUCCUCAUUAAGGGACUACCGGUGUAUACCAAUGGCCGACAGUGACGUAACUAAUCGCACGGGACACCCUAGACGAAUGCUGGCGGCGAGCAAUGGACGAACGUAAAAAAGAUCCGAAUUCUCCGAAUUGCGGUGUCCUGUACGACAGUAUCUUCAUUUUUAGAAGUCUGUGGAAACUAAGAAUUAAGACGAUGGGAUAGACACGGAUUGGCGUGAAAUUAAUUUUCAAAUGUGAGCGAAGGGUUCCGUCACUCGCAUAUGGAUGACGCGGCAGUCAAAGUGUUAAGAAAUAUAUCAAGCCUUUUAUAAAAUGUUAGAAGAAAUAUUGGAAGUUUGGAAGUUUUAUUGGAUGACAGUACCGUCUCUAAAAUAGACCAAACGAUCCUUUAAAAAUGGCAACCAAUUUGAUUCAUGUUGAAGAGGAAUUUUGUCCCGAACGCUUAAUACUCUUCGUACCAACUAUGCGACGGGAGGAAUUUGUAAUAUGUUGUACGCGAGGACUGAAGAAUUUUUACAGGCAACUACGGUUUACCUAAAGCGUAGGUAACUAAAAUACAAUGAACAUCGAAGAUUCUUCAGUAUUGAACAAAUUAAAAUAAAUAUUAAGAAUAAGAAUAGCUUUUCGAGUAACUCGUUUAAUUUAAUCACACGUUUUAGGAUAAUCUUUAAAUCAAUUAAUAUCUAAAUACCAAUGAUGAUCAAUUAUCUCUUAUGUAAUUUCUAGUAACGAGAAUUAUUCGUAAAAAUCAAUUUCAAGAUUGCCAUUGAUAGAUCUUAAGAAAAGCAUUAUAGAGCAGGAUAAUUAAUAACGUGUUAUAAAAUCAAUGAAAAGAAAUAAAGAGGUUUUAAAUAGACACGAAUUAACAGAUUGAUUGUGCUUGAUAAACAUUUACUUCUUUAGAGUGUAUAAUUUAGUAAAUGAGAAAUGUAGAUCAUAAUUAUGGGACAAGCUAAGUUCGUUAGCAUUGUAAUACUCUAUGAAACUUUCUUUUCCGGAUCCAAUUUUCUGACCGUAAUUUCAUGGGACUUUCCCUUCGAUAACAAUCUACAACUGUAAUUCUGUGAAAGAAUGUAUCGCGGGAACGAAGUUGUGUAGGAUUUUAUACGAGAAAGUUUCGGUAGAUUAAAAUUUACGUACGAAAACAUGAAGUUCUACAAAAGUUUCUAGUGACGCCAACAUGCCAAUUAAAGGUUAAUUGAAUAAGAAAUAAAUUGUUUGUAAUAUGAUUCAUGCUGAGUGAGUGUUGUUAUUCGCAAUUAAGACUUGAGUUAUAUUUAUUUAUUAUAAAUUAAUUAAUGAAAAUGUUACUAUUACUCAGUAUAUUCUGUAUCAUUGCAUUCAGUAAAGCGUCAGUUUCAUUAACUAUGACCGAACUUCUCUCGUGAAUUUCGGUUAUAAUGUCUA